GGCCUAGUAGCACAAUGGUUAGUGCGCGUGCUUAGAUUGCAUGCAUACAACGGAUAAGCGCGAAAUCUUCGUUCGACUCGAGGUUAGGCCA